GAUGAAGAACGUAGCGAAAUGCGAUAAGUAAUGUGAAUUGCAGAAUUCAGUGAAUCAUCGAAUCUUUGAACGCACAUUGCGCCCUCUGGUAUUCCGGGGGGCAUGCCUGUUCGAGCGUCAUUAUAACCACUCAAGCUCUCGCUUGGUAUUGGAGUUCGCGAUCUCGCGGCUCCUAAAAUCAGUGGCGGUGCCUGUCGGCUCUACGCGUAGUAAUACUCCUCGCGAUUGAGUCCGGUAGGUUUACUUGCCAGCAACCCCCAAUUUUUACAGGUUGACCUCGGAUCAGGUAGUGAUACCCGCUGAACUUAAGCAUAUCAAUAAGCGGAGGA
rnacentral:misc_RNA from 1 species